rnacentral:rRNA from 1 species
UUGAACGCUGGCGGCAGGCCUAACACAUGCAAGUCGAGCGGAUGAAGGGAGCUUGCUCCUGGAUUCAGCGGCGGACGGGUGAGUAAUGCCUAGGAACCUGCCUGGUAGUGGGGGAUAACGUCCGGAAACGGGCGCUAAUACCGCAUACGUCCUGAGGGAGAAAGUGGGGGAUCUUCGGACCUCACGCUAUCAGAUGAGCCUAGGUCGGAUUAGCUAGUUGGUGGGGUAAAGGCCUACCAAGGCGACGAUCCGUAACUGGUCUGAGAGGAUGAUCAGUCACACUGGAACUGAGACACGGUCCAGACUCCUACGGGAGGCAGCAGUGGGGAAUAUUGGACAAAGGGCGAAAGCCUGAUCCAGCCAUGCCGCGUGUGUGAAGAAGGUCUUCGGAUUGUAAAGCACUUUAAGUUGGGAGGAAGGGCAGUAAGUUAAUACCUUGCUGUUUUGACGUUACCAACAGAAUAAGCACCGGCUAACUUCGUG